rnacentral:rRNA from 1 species
GACAAGCCCUGGAAACGGGGUCUAAUACCGGAUAUGACGCACGGCCGCAUGGUCUGUGUGUGGAAAGCUCCGGCGGUGCAGGAUGGGCCCGCGGCCUAUCAGCUUGUUGGUGGGGUGAUGGCCUACCAAGGCGACGACGGGUAGCCGGCCUGAGAGGGCGACCGGCCACACUGGGACUGAGACACGGCCCAGACUCCUACGGGAGGCAGCAGUGGGGAAUAUUGCACAAUGGGCGCAAGCCUGUUGCAGCGACGCCGCGUGGGGGAUGACGGCCUUCGGGUUGUAAACCUCUUUCAGCAGGGAAGAAGCCUUUUGGGGUGACGGUACUUGCAGAAGAAGCACCGGCUAACUACGUGCCAGCAGCCGCGGUAAUACGUAGGGUGCGAGCGUUGUCCGGAAUUAUUGGGCGUAAAGAGCUCGUAGGCGGCUUGUCACGUCGGAUGUGAAAGCUCGGGGCUUAACUCCGGGUCUGCAUUCGAUACGGGCAGGCUAGAGUUCGGUAGGGGAGAUCGGAAUUCCUGGUG